rnacentral:rRNA from 1 species
UACGAAGGGGGCUAGCGUUGCUCGGAAUCACUGGGCGUAAAGCGCACGUAGGCGGAUUGUUAAGUCAGGGGUGAAAUCCUGGAGCUCAACUCCAGAACUGCCUUUGAUACUGACGGUCUUGAGUCCGGGAGAGGUGAGUGGAACUCCGAGUGUAGAGGUGAAAUUCGUAGAUAUUCGCAGGAACACCAGUGGCGAAGGCGGCUUACUGGUCCAUUACUGACGCUGAGGUGCGAAAGCGUGGGGAGCAAACAGG